AGCAGCCGCGGUAAUUCCAGCUCCAAUAGCGUAUAUUAAAGUUGUUGCAGUUAAAAAGCUCGUAGUUGGAUUUCGGGAUUGACACAUCGGUCGUGCCUUAAGGGGUAUGAACUGGUGUAGUCAAUUUCUCACCUUCUGGAGAACCGCGAUGCCCUUAAUUGGGUGUCGCGGGGAACCAGGACCUUUACUUUGAAAAAUUAGAGUGUUUAAAGCAGGCAUUUUGCUUGAAUACAUUAGCAUGGAAUAAUAAAAUAGGACGGCAUGAUUCUAUUUUGUGGUUUCUAGGAUCACCGUAAUGAUUAAUAGGGAUAGUUGGGGGCAUUAGUAUUCAAUUGUCAGAGGUGAAAUUCUUGGAUUUAUUGAAGACUAACUACUGCGAAAGCAUUUGCCAAGGAUGUUUUCAUUAAUCAAGAACGAAAGUUAGGGGAUCGAAGACGAUCAGAUACCGUC
rnacentral:rRNA from 1 species